AUCCAUCCGGAACUUCCCAUCCCUAUCGCGGUACACCAGAUUGAUAGGCCUAGGAGGUCCAGUCACACAGGACGAAGAAAUCGACAAGGAUGGAGAGGGCAAAGAUUGGGGUGAGGAAUCGCUGGCAGUUUCUUUCCCUUUGUUGAAGAUUUUGAACAUCCUGUUGCUGGUGCUAGUGCUGGAGGUGGCGUUGCUGUUACCGUUGCUAUUGGUUGUAAUGACAGUGGCGAUUGUGGGAUCUGUUCAGUUUUUGUUUAUGGUCUCUUCUGCCUUUUGCCUUCUUCGUGUUUCUUCGCUUUCCUUUCUCCGUCGGGUUUAAAAUUGAAGAGGGAAAGCGAAG
rnacentral:misc_RNA from 1 species